rnacentral:lncRNA from 1 species
CUGAAACUUGUCUGUCCCAUGCAGUCAUACAACCUGACUAUCUGGACACGCAGGUGCAUAGAUUUAUUAGGAUUCUCCUUCUUCCCUGGGCAGUCAUUUCAACACUGCCCAUAGAUGCUCACAAGUGGGAAUGGGUGCCUGUCUCCUGUCUACCAAUCUACUGAGAAUCAAGGAAUUGGAAAGCAAAACAGGGAUUAAUUCUCAGCAACAAAAACGUAAAGAAGUGGAGUGGAACCCUGAGGAGCAGAUGGAGCUGGGAGAGAUGCAUGGAUAUAUCUACAUUGAGAACCCCUUGGAAUAUCUUUACUGUUAGGACAGAGUUGUCUUUGCUGUUGUAGGUUGCCAGAUGUUUAGAAGGGAGGCAGGUCAACCAUGAUCUACUGUUUAAGAGCAGCGUAGACUUAG